GUGCUUGCUUUGGCAGUACAUGUACUGAAAUUGAACAAUACAGAGAUUAGCUGGCCCCUUUGCAAGGGUGAUAUCCAAAUUUGUGAGGUGUUCCAUAUAUUG